UACGUAGGGGGCUAGCGUUGUCCGGAAUCAUUGGGCGUAAAGAGCGUGUAGGCGGUCCGGUAAGUCCGCUGUGAAAGUCGGGGGCUCAACCCUCGAAUGCCGGUGGAUACUGUCGGGCUUGAGUACGGAAGAGGCGAGUGGAAUUCCUGGUGUAGCGGUGAAAUGUGCAGAUAUCAGGAGGAACACCAAUUGCGAAGGCAGCUCGCUGGGACGUUACUGACGCUGAGACGCGAGAGCGUGGGGAGCAAACAGG
rnacentral:rRNA from 1 species